AGUGAACGCUGGCGGCAGGCCUAACACAUGCAAGUCGAACGGAUCCUUCGGGAUUAGUGGCGGACGGGUGAGUAACGCGUGGGAACAUACCCAAAGGUACGGAAUAGCCUCGGGAAACUGGGAGUAAUACCGUAUGUGCUCGAAAGAGGAAAGAUUUAUCGCCUUUGGAUUGGCCCGCGUUGGAUUAGGUAGUUGGUGGGGUAAUGGCCUACCAAGCCGACGAUCCAUAGCUGGUUGGAGAGGAUGAUCAGCCACACUGGGACUGAGACACGGCCCAGACUCCUACGGGAGGCAGCAGUGGGGAAUCUUAGACAAUGGGGGAAACCCUGAUCUAGCCAUGCCGCGUGAUCGAUGAAGGCCUUAGGGUUGUAAAGAUCUUUCAGGUGGGAAGAUAAUGACUGUACCACCAGAAGAAGCCCCGGCUAACUCCGUGCCAGCCGCCGCGGUAAAAC
rnacentral:rRNA from 1 species